rnacentral:rRNA from 1 species
CCUACGGGAGGCUGCAGUGGGGAAUAUUGCACAAUGGGGGAAACCCUGAUGCAGCGACGCCGCGUGAGUGAAGAAGUAUUUCGGUACGUAAAGCUCUAUCAGCAGGGAAGAAAAUGACGGUACCUGACUAAGAAGCCCCGGCUAACUACGUGCCAGCAGCCGCGGUAAUACGUAGGGGGCAAGCGUUAUCCGGAUUUACUGGGUGUAAAGGGAGCGUAGACGGCAGCGCAAGUCUGGAGUGAAAUCCCAUGGCUUAACCAUGGAACUGCUUUGGAAACUGUGCAGCUAGAGUGCAGGAGAGGUAAGCGGAAUUCCUAGUGUAGCGGUGAAAUGCGUAGAUAUUAGGAGGAACACCAGGGGCGAAGGCGGCUUACUGGACUGUAGCUGACGUUGAGGCUCGAAAGCGUGGGGAGCAAACAGGAUUAGAUACCCCUGUAGUC